rnacentral:rRNA from 1 species
AACGAACGCUGGCGGCAGGCUUAACACAUGCAAGUCGAGCGCCCCGCGAGGGGAGCGGCAGACGGGUGAGUAACGCGUGGGAACCUACCUGAAGGUACGGAACAACUCCGGGAAACUGGAGCUAAUACCGUAUGUGCCCGAGAGGGGAAAGAUUUAUCGCCUUCAGAUGGGCCCGCGUCAGAUUAGCUAGUUGGUGAGGUAAUGGCUCACCAAGGCGACGAUCUGUAGCUGGUCUGAGAGGAUGAUCAGCAACACUGGGACUGAGACACGGCCCAGACUCCUACGGGAGGCAGCAGUGGGGAAUCUUAGACAAUGGGGGCAACCCUGAUCUAGCCAUGCCGCGUGAGUGAUGAAGGCCUUAGGGUUGUAAAGCUCUUUCAGCUGGGAAGAUAAUGACGGUACCAGCAGAAGAAGCCCCGGCUAACUCCGUGCCAGCCGC